rnacentral:tRNA from 1 species
GUGGCUGUAAUUCAGCAGGUAGAAUCCCGGACUGUUACUCCAGUUGUCGUGGGUUCAAUCCCCGCCGGUCACCCCA